rnacentral:rRNA from 1 species
UACGUAGGCAGCAAGCGUUGUUCGGAAUUACUGGGCGUAAAGGGCGUGUAGGCGGCUUUUUAAGUCUGGUGUGAAAUCCCCCGGCUCAACUGGGAGGGUGCGCCGAAUACUGAGUGGCUAGAGUGCGGGAGAGGAGAGUGGAAUUCCUGGUGUAGCGGUGAAAUGCGUAGAUAUCAGGAGGAACACCGGUGGUGUAGACGGCUCUCUGGACCGUAACUGACGCUGAGACACGAAAGCGUGGGUAGCAAACAGG